rnacentral:rRNA from 1 species
CUUUACUGCAGCUUCGCCUUGGCGUUAGCGACAACAUGUGUAGGAUAGGUGGGAGGCUAUGAAUCCGGGGCGCCAGUUCCGGGGGAGCCAACCUUGAAAUACCACCCUUGUUGUCGUUGACGUCUAACCGCGGUCCGUUAUCCGGAUCCGGGACAUGGCGUGGCGGGCAGUUUGACUGGGGCGGUCGCCUCCCAAAGUGUAACGGAGGCGCGCGAUGGUGGGCUCAGAGCGGUCGGAAAUCGCUCGUCGAGUGCAAUGGCAUAAGCCCGCCUGACUGUGAGACUGACAAGUCGAACAGAGACGAAAGUCGGCCAUAGUGAUCCGGUGGUUCUGUAUGGAAGGGCCAUCGCUCAACGGAUAAAAGGUA